rnacentral:rRNA from 2 species
GUGGCGGACGGGUGAGUAACACGUAGGUAACCUGCCCCGGAGCGGGGGAUAACAUUUGGAAACAGAUGCUAAUACCGCAUAACAACAAAAGCCGCAUGGCUUUUGUUUGAAAGAUGGCUUUGGCUAUCACUCUGGGAUGGACCUGCGGUGCAUUAGCUAGUUGGUAAGGUAACGGCUUACCAAGGCGAUGAUGCAUAGCCGAGUUGAGAGACUGAUCGGCCACAAUGGAACUGAGACACGGUCCAUACUCCUACGGGAGGCAGCAGUAGGGAAUCUUCCACAAUGGGCGCAAGCCUGAUGGAGCAACACCGCGUGAGUGAAGAAGGGUUUCGGCUCGUAAAGCUCUGUUGUUGGAGAAGAACGUGCGUGAGAGUAACUGUUCACGCAGUGACGGUAUCCAACCAGAAAGUCACGGCUAACUACGUGCCAGCAGCCGCGGUAAUACGUAGGUGGCAAGCGUUAUCCGGAUUUAUUGGGCGUAAAGCGAGCGCAGGCGGUUGCUUAGGUCUGAUGUGAAAGCCUUCGGCUUAACCGAAGAAGUGCAUCGGAAACCGGGCGACUUGAGUGCAGAAGAGGACAGUGGAACUCCAUGUGUAGCGGUGGAAUGCGUAGAUAUAUGGAAGAACACCAGUGGCGAAGGCGGCUGUCUGGUCUGCAACUGACGCUGAGGCUCGAAAGCAUGGGUAGCGAACAGGAUUAGAUACCCUGGUAGUCCAUGCCGUAAACGAUGAGUGCUAGGUGUUGGAGGGUUUCCGCCCUUCAGUGCCGGAGCUAACGCAUUAAGCACUCCGCCUGGGGAGUACGACCGCAAGGUUGAAACUCAAAGGAAUUGACGGGGGCCCGCACAAGCGGUGGAGCAUGUGGUUUAAUUCGAAGCUACGCGAAGAACCUUACCAGGUCUUGACAUCUUGCGCUAACCUUAGAGAUAAGGCGUUCCCUUCGGGGACGCAAUGACAGGUGGUGCAUGGUCGUCGUCAGCUCGUGUCGUGAGAUGUUGGGUUAAGUCCCGCAACGAGCGCAACCCUUGUUACUAGUUGCCAGCAUUAAGUUGGGCACUCUAGUGAGACUGCCGGUGACAAACCGGAGGAAGGUGGGGACGACGUCAGAUCAUCAUGCCCCUUAUGACCUGGGCUACACACGUGCUACAAUGGACGGUACAACGAGUCGCAAGCUCGCGAGAGUAAGCUAAUCUCUUAAAGCCGUUCUCAGUUCGGACUGUAGGCUGCAACUCGCCUACACGAAGUCGGAAUCGCUAGUAAUCGCGGAUCAGCAUGCCGCGGUGAAUACGUUCCCGGGCCUUG